UCACCACGGUAACUGAGCGUCCAGACACUUCUCCAGCUCUCUUUACACAUGUUAAGCUGGGCUCCAGACUGGGGUCGGACCUGCGUUGGUUCUGGCCCAGUAUAAGAUCUGAUAUAAGGACUUUAAGUGCUCCAUCAAUUCCACACAGAACCAAGUUCAACCUCUGAGAUUCUGAAUGAAUAAAAAACAAGCUUGAAAUAUUAAUCAGGUUUUUAAUGCAGUUUUUACACUAUUUGUUUCUAUGUAGGGAUCUAUACAUGCAUUUCUUUCCAAAAUUCUGCUUUACUUUUUCUUAGUUUCUUUUGCUUUCUUUCAGAUUUCUUUCAAAAUGAAUACAAGGCAGCUAGCCUGAGGCUUCAGCUUGCUUUUUUAGAUUGUGCUGCUUUGCUGACAAGGCAAAAAGAGCUGUAGUGGUGCUGUCAAGGCCAGUGGUAACCCCAGUGCUCCUCUUGUGGUUGAAAAAGUAAAACUAAGUCUCCAGCAGGGUCUCAAGCAUACACUAUUGGAAAUGCAGCGGCACUGACCAGUCUGGAGGAGAGUUUGCAGGCAGAAGAAGGUCUGGAGAAGAGUGUACACAGACAGGAGGAGGUGUGGAGGAGAGUGUACAAGCAGGAGGAGGUCUUGAGGAGAGUGCACAGGCAGGAGAAGUGAGGGGACCAACAGGAACGAUGAAGAGAAAAGCGUGGACUCCGGGAUCACAAAGAGAGACACAGCGGAUAGCUUCACACUUCACAUCCUCCUUAUGAGCGCUGCAGAGAGCCGGCAUCUCCAUCAAGCCAGGCCGAUUGACCCACCCAUUCAGCUGCUUCUCAGCUGUGUAUCCCUAAUCCCUAAUGAUCCCACAAGGAGGGUGAAGACAUGCCUUCUUCGAUACAUGUAAAGUCAGACUGCCGAUGCUGACGCAGCAUUGCUGAGUAGCAUCACAGCGCAUCAGAGGAAAGCGCAGUGACUUGGAUCUGAUACAUCAGCUCACAGACGCCUUGUGCUGAUUGACAUCACCCUAGAAGUGAUUAGAAGGAGCACCAUUUAGAGAGAGCAAGGCAAAUUGUGCUCUCUCAGGGCCCUGGAUCUGAUGGGAUGCAGCAAAUAAAAAGCUGUUAUUGAGAAGAAGAAGAAGAAGCAGAAGAAGAAGAAGAAGAAGAAGAAGAAUUAAAGGCCCUUUCACACAGAGUGUUAUUUUUGGGCAGAAAAAAAUGGACAUGGUUUUAAAUAAUAAAAAAAAGCCUUUACUCCACAUUCCAGAGAAUAUGAAUGCAUUGUGUCCUACUGUGUGG